UAUUCAUAUGCUUGUCUCAAAAAUUAACCCAUGCAUGUCUAAUUAUAAACUGCUUAUACUGUGAAACUGCAAAUGGCUCAUUAAAUCAUUUAUAGUUUAUUUGAUGGUACCUACUACUCGAAUAACCGUAUUAAUUCUAAAGCUAAUACGUGCGUAAAUCCCGACUUCAGGAAGGGACUUAUUAUUAAAUUUAAGGCCAACCAACCUUCUGCUCGUCUCUUGGUGAAUCAUGAUAACUUCACAAAUCGCAUGGCCUUUGCGCCGGCAAUAUUUCAUUCAAAUUUCUGCCCUAUCAAUUGGCAAUGGUAGGAUAAAGGCCUACCAUGGUGUUAACGGGUGACGGAGGAUUAGGGUUCAAUUCCGGAAAGGGAGCCUGAAAAACGGCUACCACAUCCAAGGAAGGCAGCAGGCGCGCAAAUUACCCAAUCCUGAUACAGGGAGGUAGUGACAAUAAAUAACAAUACCGGGCUUUUCAAGUCUGGUAAUUGAAAUGAGUACAAUCUAAAUCCCUUAACGAGGAUCCAUUGA
rnacentral:rRNA from 1 species